CCUACGGGUGGCAGCAGUGAGGAAUAUUGGUCAAUGGACGAGAGUCUGAACCAGCCAAGUAGCGUGAAGGAUGACUGCCCUAUGGGUUGUAAACUUCUUUUAUAUGGGAAUAAAAUGUUCCACGUGUGGGCUUUUGUAUGUACCAUAUGAAUAAGGCUCGGCUAACUCCGUGCCAGCAGCCGCGGUAAUACGGAGGAGCCGAGCGUUAUCCGGAUUUAUUGGGUUUAAAGGGAGCGUAGGUGGAUUGUUAAGUCAGUUGUGAAAGUUUGCGGCUCAACCGUAAAAUUGCAGUUGAAACUGGCAGUCUUGAGUACAGUAGAGGUGGGCGGAAUUCGUGGUGUAGCGGUGAAAUGCUUAGAUAUCACGAAGAACUCCGAUUGCGAAGGCAGCUCACUGGACUGCAACUGACACUGAGGCUCGAAAGUGUGGGUAUCAAACAGGAUUAGAUACCCCAGUAGUC
rnacentral:rRNA from 1 species